GAUGAACGCUAGCGGCAGGCUUAAUACAUGCAAGUCGAGGGGUAGCAAGAUUGUAGCAAUACAAUUGUUGACGACCGGCAAACGGGUGCGGAACACGUACACAACCUUCCUACAAGUGGGGAAUAGCCCAGAGAAAUUUGGAUUAAUACCCCGUAACAUAGCGAUGUGGCAUCACAUUGCUAUUAUAGCUUCGGCGCUUGUUGAUGGGUGUGCGGCUGAUUCGAUAGUUGGCGGGGUAACGGCCCACCAAGUCUACGAUCAGUAGCUGAUGUGAGAGCAUGAUCAGCCACACGGGCACUGAGACACGGGCCCGACUCCUACGGGAGGCAGCAGUAAGGAAUAUUGGACAAUGGACGCAAGUCUGAUCCAGCUAUGCCGCGUGAAGGAUUAAGGUCCUCUGGAUUGUAAACUUCUUUUAUAAGGGACGAAAAAAGGUCUUUCUAGAUCGUCUGACGGUACCUUAUGAAUAAGCACCGGCUAACUCCGUGCCAGCCGCCGCAGUAAUAC
rnacentral:rRNA from 1 species